rnacentral:lncRNA from 1 species
UUACCUCAACGUACCUUGGCAACAGAUAUUCUUUCACAUACAAGACAUAGUGUUGGUUGUCUAUUAAUGCCAAAGGCAACUCAACACCAGCAACAAACUUCACCAUUCCGGUUCGAGCUUUCUCCUCCGAAUACACCCAUGUGGAUAAGGUUGCAGUAGAACCACCUGCGUUUGGACUGCCAAAUUGCAAUUGUGUUUGACAGCCAGGAAUAAGUCCGUGCUUGGCUGCCCAUACUUUGUAAUGACGGUUGAGAUGGGUGGUACCAAUUCUUCUUUGCCAUGCCAAUCUUUGUUGGUAGUAUUUACAUACUGCUUUGGAUUCUUAGACUCCAUUGACGAUUUUUUCCGUUGAAAUCAACUUAAUGUGAUCCCAACAUUUUGCUUGUUUUUUCCCCUUUCGGUUUCCUCUUGCAUCAGGAAUAUUUAAUUCAGUCUCUUCUUCCUGAUCGUGUUCCUCUUCGAGAACGUCAACAUCAUCCAAAUUAAUUGGAUAAUUUGGAUUGCCGCUUACAUGAUGAUGAAAAUCCAAAUCUGAAAUAUUUUUAGGUAGGGGUACGUUAUUUAGACCUUCAAAUUGCUUCUGAAGUUGACUUUGUGGUGUCAUAAGCGAU